GAAGGAGGGGCGGGACUGAGGUGAGCUGAGCGGGAGGGGCGGGACUGAGGUGAGCCGGGCCGGGGCGGGAGGGCGGUGCACCGGUGUGGCGCGGUGGCCGGACGCCCCACAAUCAAUACGGCCCACGCCCCUGGGCGGACCCACAGCAGCAGCACCGCCGCCACACCGCCUAGCCACCGCCCAGACCCUGCCAGCGCCGCGGCGGCCGAACACGCGCUGCCGCUGCUCCGCACAGGGCACAGUCUUUUAUGUUGUUUGUGUUUGUUGUCAGGCUUUUGUACGGUUUGUUGGAAACUGCACCUGGCUCGCCAGAUCUACCACCCACUCUCUCGCACCACCACACCCACGACCGCACCAACACUGACUGUUUACUUGCCGCUUUACGGACGCACCGCAUUCUGACUUUGAGUUAAUGUGUUUUUCCUUUACGUGUGUUGCACCACGACAACUGCUGACGCCACGCUCAGCGGCACCACCUGCACCUUGCACCUGCACCACUUGCACCUCCACCAUCACCACCACCAGCACCAGCACCACCACUACCACCACCUCCCACCACUCCCCACCCCCCCACCACCACCACUACUUAAGUCACCGUCACCACUUCACGUGCACCGCGCCCAGGCAACGCCCACCGUCACCUCUGCUCCUGACAGCGGCAGCAGCAGCAGCAGCAGCAGGAGCAGCGUGCACCUCAGCCUGGUGGGGGCGUCAAUAGUGAAGUAAGGGGGCGGGUGGGAGACGCGCUCCUUAAAGCUGCAGUCACACACCCCCACGCGGCAGGGCCUCGGCACGCCACUCCCGCCCUUACGCCGCCUCGCCGCGAGGGCCGCCUCCCCAUGCACCACCUGGCUCAUAUUGAUUGUGAUACCUGAAUGUGAUGAGUGAAUAAUUGCCCAAAUAACACCUGCUCGCACGGCACGUAGCGUUUGACCACCAAAACACUGAUAUGCACCUGCAAUGAUGAAACUAUAAACGUCUUCCUUAAUCAUAGUAGUCGACAAAGCAGGAUCAUCAUCCUCAUCCUCACCGAGAAGCACAACUGCCACGAUUUAUCUUCCAGUGACGCACAAGUUAAUUCUGCACCGGCCCGUGGCGCCACUAGGUUAGGAACACUUUCCCACGAGGAAAACUUUGACACAAGGCAGAAGACCGCCGCCUGAUGAGGCGGUGAGCUGGCGACGACAACAACUCGAGGCGCCGUGAGAGCCACGCCGCCACACCUGCCACUCCGCCUCCCUCCCUGGCUCUCCGCGCCCUGGCACUCUCGCUCAGCAUGGCACUCGCCGGACGCCGCGGCCAAGCACACCGUAUGCACCUCAACACGCGAGGCUCAUGAGCGGUCUUGGUGAUCAGCUCGCAAGUCUUCCCCCUCACGUGUCCACAUGUUUGUUUGUUUGUCCGUGAGCCUCGGCGAGUCGCUCUGAUAAGCCUGAUCAGAAGCCUCACACUAGAUAGGUCACCUGACACCACAGACACGCUUCCUGCGUUCGCCCAGGCAGCAUCAGCGUCUUCCUGAUCCGCAGUGCUGACAUUCUUCCAUUAUAUGACAUAAGGUAUUUCCUCCAAGGCUUCCUGACAAGAUUUUCCCGCACGCAGCAGCAGCAGCAGCAGCAGCAGCAAGAGCACGAGCGCUGCAGAGGCCGCGAUGCUACAUGUCCCCAGAGCGUCAAACACUGCACCUCCCCAAGUUGUAUGCUGAGACGCACUUCACUGAACACUUGAAUUUGAAAUAAUGAAGAGGAGUGAACUGUCAACAUUUUUUUUCACGCCUCAGACAAAAGUUUGAGAGGCAAGCUCUUAUAUUUCUAAACUUUUGUUACAAAGUUGGCAAUUGGGACAUUUUCCUGUGGGAGCUCAAAUCUGGAAGCCGCAAGAGGCUGUCUAGUAGAUCAAGUUUUGUAGUGUAAAGGAAAUUUUUGUUAUUUCCUGUGAAAUAUUUUUUGAUUAACUGAUUGGAAAUACUCUAUGAAGUAGAUUUACCGUACCUAUAAGUUUGUGUAGCGGAAUGAUAGAUACUUGCUAGAGUGUAAGCACACGUAGACUCUGAAACCUAUUUUGUAACGCUGGCAAAGCCCCGAGGAGACAGGCGCUGGCAGGGGACUGACGUGAACACUUCAAACCCACUCGAUGCCCUGAACUCUGAAAAAAAAAGAAAAAAAAAAUGCUUCUGGCUUGAUAUACAUAGCUUUCCGCAACUUAAGGGUGUGAAACUUGGCUUCCAAGAGUUAAGUGGCCUUAGACACAGCUGUAAGUGAAUUACUCAAGAUCGCCAACGCGCACAUGCACACAUAUAGUGCGAAAAUAGUCGAAUAUUGCUUGUGCGUGCAAGAAAUUUAUUCCUUUUAGUAUAGUGUGGCAGCCAUGCUCCAAGGACCUGAGUGAACCAUGAGUACCUGCGCUGAAGCCCCGUCGAAGACCCGGAAGAGAAGAGUGGAGAGACCGCCGACGAAAUGGAAGGGACCGGGAGAAGGACCCGAGGACGAUGCGUCGCCGGAUUCGACCACGACCGACGAGCUCGCCGAGAAACUAAAG